GAUGGUCAAUUUGGAUAUUUUAUUUUGAAGUUCCACAAGAAUCGCUCGAUGUGAUGAUUCUAACUGUUUUUUUUCCUCAUCACAACGUUUCUGACAAGAUGCUUGAAUCUAACAAAAAUACGAUGCUAGAGCCUAGAAAGGUCAGAUAAAGAGAGAAAAAAAAUCCCAUAUUUACUAUGGGUAUCUUUCAUCAAAAACAACAAUUCAUGAUGUCGAAAAUUUCUGAUAAAUUCUCUAUUCAUACACCAUAGUAUAUAUUUUUGGUCACCUCUUGUGCUCUUGCUAAACGACCACCAAGUUCAGUUUCAGUUGAUUCAAGUUGUUUUUUCAGCACUUUGUUUUCAUCCUAAAAAGAUUUAAUAAUAAAAAGUCAGGAAACACG